rnacentral:lncRNA from 1 species
GGACCUGUUAGGCGUGAUAAACUUCACCUGCAAGAGCGAAAGAAAGAAAGAGAGAGAGCGGCUGUGACUGUUAGACUUCUUCCUGUGGUUUGUACCACGUGGGCUGAGGGGGGUUAAAAAGGAGACAACUUCUUCUUCUUCAGCCACUUCUUCUAGAACCGAGGGAAGAAGACACUGGGCGCUGAGACCACUAGACAAGCUCUUUGCUUUUUUACAGAGACAAAGGAGCCUUCAGUCAGGAGUGUGUGUGUGUGUGUGUGUGUGUGUGUGUGUGUGUGUGACUGUGUGUGUGACGGUGGCUGGGUGUGGUUAGUUAGUGAGAGCAGUUGUGUGCAUCUGGAUAUGACCACCAGUUUUGAGGCAGGUGCACAAGAAGAAACGAAAGAAGCUGGACCAGGAAAGAAGACAUUGGAGGAAGUACAGUGCAGUCAUCCAUAAAGUAGAAAGCACUACUAAACUCCUCGCCACAGUGUAGUGUUUCCUACUUUAUGGAUGAGUGUACUGUUGGCUACGGUGACAAAGACAGAGGAGCCAAAAUGGCGUCUGCAGUGGAGAGACUGUUCACAUUCAGGAAAUGAGAAAAAGAGGAACCUGCAUUGUUUCACAUAGUGGUGGCGUUCACAGCGCAGUGUGUCAGCGACUACAGUUCACAUGGGCUGUGCACGCCACCCAACACUGAACAAAGCUGGAAAGACCUCAUGCUUAGCCUUUUUAGCAAUGACUGGUACUGAAUGCGUUUUGUGUAUUAAACUUGUGAACUGGAAAUUAUUUAUGUCUCAACCUAUAGAUAUGGGAAAUGUUUUAAAUGCCUCAAACUAUAGAUAUGGGAAAUGUUUUAAAUGCCUCAAACUAUACAUAUGGGAAAUGUUUUAAAUGUCUCAACCUAUAGAUAUAGAAUUAAUUUACGUCUCAAACUAUAGAUAUGGGAAAUGUUUUAAAUGUCUCAAACUAUAGAUAUGGGAAAUGUUUUAAAUGCCUCAAACUAUAGAUAUGGGAAAUGUUUUAAAUGUCUCAAGCUAUAGAUAUGGGAAAUGUUUUAAAUGCCUCAAACUAUAGAUAUGGGAAAUGUUUUAAAUGCCUCAAACUAUAGAUAUGGGAAAUGUUUUAAAUGUCUCAAGCUAUAUAUGGAAAUGUUUUACAUGUCUCAAACUUUAUAGAUAUGGAAAGACUAAAUUUGUUGAAGUGUAUAUGGUCUGGUCCUGUAAAAUAGCUAUUAUCAUUCUAUGUGGUGUCAUUCUCUGCUUUUCAUUUAGAAACGUAUGAUGUAUAUUGAUAAGUCUGUAUAAUUGGUGAGUGUAUUGCCAAAUUUGUCUUCAUUAAAUAAUUAAAUAAAAUGUUUGUUUUUUUGUCUUUUCUAUUAAAUUCUACCUCCAUUAGCAUUUCGGUCAGUCAAAGUAACACAAAGUCAAACACAAAAUCCCCUUGUUAUGUGAAAAUAUACUUUAUUCCUGUAAAAAGACCCAGAUUGAAAGAAAUCGACCACAAUUUUAAGUCAACAAAUCCUCUGUGCACUACUUCUGACUUAUCGUUCCUCUGUGCACUACUUCUGACUUAUCGUUCCUCUGUGCACUACUUCUGACUUAUCGUUCCUCUGUGCACUACUUCUGACUUAUCGUUCCUCUGUGCACUACUUCUGACUUAUCGUUCCUCUGUGCACUACUUUUGACUUAUCGUUCCUCUGUGCACUACUUGUGACUUAUCGUUCCUCAAUCAACAACACUGCUUCCACAUGCAAAAAGACAUUGGAAAAACAACAUGAACAAAAUUAAAACAAAAACCUAUUUACAGGUGAGCUUUCCCAAAACGGGUAAUAAAAACCUUAAUAUACAAAAGGUAAAUCGUCCAUUGUUUUCAAAAGAAAGCAUACAUACAGGUCAGGAAAGACAACAAAAAAAUUCCCUUCUCUGUAUGAAAAUAUGUUUCAUACCUCAUAGUCCAAAGCCCCAUAGUGCCUGGCUUACAUUCACGUACAGCUUUACAUAAUUAGAUACAUACGGACCUACUCCUGAAACGCCAUAAUACUCCACACUUGGCUUCCACUGCAUCGACAACCAAUCAGAAGACUAAAAUGUUGCAAACAUAAUGCCAAGUGACGUGAGACCUAUACAUAAAUACAUAAAUAUCACGAUAAUAAAUAAGGCAGAAUAGGGGAUAACAUUGUUAUUAUACAUGCAGUGUAAACAACAUAUUAAGACUAAGCAAGGUCUUGUAAGGCUAAAUAGUAUAAUAUUAUAUCAACUGUUGUCUAAAAUGCUUGCUAAGGGUUAAGAAGUCCUAUAUAGAUAGGAGAGCUGGAGAAGAUUAGAUGUAGCCUAUGUAGAGGCAGACAGGGGCAGUAGUAGUAGCAGUAGCAGUAGUAGUAGCAGUAGUAGUAGUAGUAGUAGUAGUAGCAGUAGUAGCAGUAGUAGUAGCAGUAGUAGUAGUAGUAGCAGUAGUAGUAGCAGUAGUAGUAGUAGUAGCAGUAUGAGUAGCAGUAGUAGUAGUGGUAGCAGUAGUAGUAGUAGUAGCAGCAGCAGCAGUAGUAGUAGUAGCAGUAGUAGUAGCAGUAGUAGUAGUAG